rnacentral:tRNA from 1 species
GUAGAGCAGUUUGGUAGCUCACAAAGCUGGGGUUACGGGUUCGAUACUGACUACCUGCUCCAU